GACGAACGCUGGCGGCGUGCCUAAUACAUGCAAGUCGAACGAGUGGCGGACGGGUGAGUAACACGUGGGAACCUACCCAUCAGAGGGGGAUAACACUUGGAAACAGGUGCUAAUACCGCAUAUUGAUGGAUGGACCCGCGGGGCAUGAGCUAGUUGGUGGGGGAACGGCUCACCUAGGCGACGAGCCCUAGCUGGUCUGAGAGAGUGACCAGCCACACGGGAACUGAGACACGGUCCAGACUCCUACGGGAGGCAGCAGUGGGGAAUAUUGCACAAUGGGCGCAAGCCUGAUACAGCCAUGCCGCGUGUGUGAAGAAGGCCUUCGGGUUGUAAAGCACUUUCAGCGGGGAGUCGUUACCCGCAGAAGAAGCACCGGCUAACUCCGUGCCAGCAGCCGCGGUAAUAC
rnacentral:rRNA from 1 species